CCUACGGGUGGCAGCAGUGGGGGAUAUUGCACAAUGGGGGAAACCCUGAUGCAGCAACGCCGCGUGAGUGAAGAAGUAUUUCGGUAUGUAAAGCUCUAUCAGCAGGGAAGAGAAUGACGGUACCUGACUAAGAAGCCCCGGCUAACUACGUGCCAGCAGCCGCGGUAAUACGUAGGGGGCGAGCGUUAUCCGGAUUUACUGGGUGUAAAGGGAGCGUAGACGGCUGGUCAAGUCUGAAGUGAAAGCCCAGGGCUUAACCUCGGAACGGCUUUGGAAACUGAGCAGCUAGAGUGCUGGAGAGGUAAGCGGAAUUCCUAGUGUAGCGGUGAAAUGCGUAGAUAUUAGGAGGAACACCAGUGGCGAAGGCGGCUUACUGGACAGUAACUGACGUUGAGGCUCGAAAGCGUGGGGAGCAAACAGGAUUAGAUACCCUUGUAGUC
rnacentral:rRNA from 1 species